rnacentral:lncRNA from 1 species
AAUCCUCUAUCUGCUCCCCAGUCUCUGCCUUAACCAGCACAGUAGACCUUGGCCCUUUGUCCUAAAGGCCGUGUUUUCAUGGAUUUCUUAGUGGUUAACUCGAUCCUGCACCCAGGGCAUGCACUCAACUCCUGCUUGUUUCUGGUCCUCCUCAUGUCCAAUGUCCCGGUUUCCAGGACAGCUUCCAGAGUGCUGGACAUGGGGGGCACUGGCUGUGUACAGACUCAGGAUUGAGUCACACCCAGGUGA